GAAGACGUUAUGGCCAUUGAUUUCAAAAUAAACAGUGUAAGAUGACUAUCCAGGUGAAACAAAAGCAACCAGUCAAAUUCAAUCUCUUAAAAUCACAUUGACUCUCAUAUGAAGAUGACAUCUUGACCCUUGAUUUUAUCUUAAUACAAUCAAAACCAUUCAUUAAGUUACUGAUCCGCGUGAGCAAAAUUCAACCAAUCAAACUUUAUCUUAACAGGCAUAAAUAAAAUAAAGCCACUUUCACAACCAUUACAAGUCUCUCCUCCCCCCCCCCCCCCCUUAAAUCACCAUUCCUUCUCUUUGUUUCUUUUCGUGAACGUUGUAUCAAGAUUCAGCUUGUAUUUGUUUCCACCAUCAACACUUUUCUGUCACAAAAUACAACAUUUGUGAUUUUUGUAAUUUGUAUUGUAACAAGGUUAUUAUUGUUACUUAUAUUAUUAACAUGGAUGUAUCUUUGUAGAUUUGUAUCAAGUAUAAACAUAUAUAAAAUGCACAAUGUAAAUUAUGUUUGAUUUGUGUGUAAAAUCAAUUAUGUAAAAGAAUAUAUCCAGCAUUGGUGUUUUGAUUUUUUUUCCUUUUGAAGGUUUUUAGAAUCAAUUUCAUACAUGAUAAUGUGGGAUAAUCUUCCAUGUCUAUUCAAAAUGAAAAAAUAUUGCAAAGUGGUACUUAUGUAUCUUUAUUUUUGCAAUGUAGUAAUAGAGAUAAAUCAAGGAUGAAAGAAAACUGCUUUUAUUAUUAACUAAAUCAUUAAAUCACAAGCAGGUUAUAAACUUCGAGGUAUAAAAUACAUUAAAAACAAAGUAUAUAGGAACGAAACAAACACACAUGGAAAUUAGUUCUUAUUGUUUUAUGGAAGCCUUUACAACCCAAUCUUAGAUACAAAAUCGAGACAUUCAUGUUUAUGGAUUCUUAUAAUCGAACCUUGAUUACUAAAUAAUAAAACUUUAUAAAGAAAGAGUACUUAGCAGAGAGCAUGAUACAUGAAAAAACCCAGUUUUGAUCACAAACAGAAAAAGAAACGGAUUUAUUCCUUUUCAAAAAUACAAAACACGAAUGAAAAUUUUCUAAUUACAAACACAAACGGAAAUCGGUCCAACAAACUGAAACUGCUAUAGAUUCUAAAACAAGAACACAAAUUCUCUUACACUCUAGAUGCUGCUUUGGGGAUACUUGUCGGAGAUGGUUAGACCAUUGCCGAUUGUGGCCUGUGUCAUCAGUAGUGUUGCGGAAAAAGUAGUCGGUGGUUGCUGCCCGACGGCUGGUGGUGUAAUUUCAGUUGCUGCUGGUUGGCAG
rnacentral:lncRNA from 1 species